rnacentral:rRNA from 1 species
UACGUAGGGUGCAAGCGUUGUCCGGAAUUAUUGGGCGUAAAGAGCUCGUAGGCGGUCUGUCGCGUCGGCUGUGAAAUCCCGGGGCUUAACCCCGGGCCUGCAGUGGAUACGGGCAGGCUGGAGGCAGGCAGGGGAGAACGGAAUUCCCGGUGUAGCGGUGAAAUGCGCAGAUAUCGGGAGGAACACCGGUGGCGAAGGCGGUUCUCUGGGCCUGUACUGACGCUGAGGAGCGAAAGCGUGGGGAGCGAACAGG